rnacentral:rRNA from 1 species
UACAGAGGGGGCAAGCGUUGUUCGGAAUCACUGGGCUUAAAGGGCGCGUAGGCGGGCUGACAAGUCUGGGGUGAAAUGCCGCGGCUCAACCGUGGAACUGCCUUAGAUACUGUCGGCCUCGAGGAAGGUAGGGGCAUGCGGAACUGUAGGUGGAGCGGUGAAAUGCGUUGAUAUCUACAGGAACUCCGGUGGCGAAAGCGGCGUGCUGGACCUUUUCUGACGCUGAGGCGCGAAAGCUAGGGGAGCAAACGGG